GCUUCGGCAGAACAUAUACUAAAAUUGGAACGAUACAGAGAAGAUUAGCAUGGCCCCUGCGCAAGGAUGACACGCAAAAUCGUGAAGCGUUCCACAUUUUUUACCAAACCAAGCGGCCCGCAGAAAAGCCUAAGGCUGAACAUGGCAGAUCAAAUCACUAAAUCUUAUAGCUGCUAUUAUAACUAUAUGAUUUUUUUAUUUCAAAGAUAUCCUAACCAUUUUUGAAGAUAACAGACUACAAGCCAGAUUAGGCGUAAGGCAUAUAGCAUAUGCCAUGAUUAAACAAUAUGUCGAAAAAUUCGCCUAUAAAAA